rnacentral:rRNA from 1 species
GGCCUAACACAUGCAAGUCGAGCGGUAGCACAGGGAGCUUGCUCCUGGGUGACGAGCGGCGGACGGGUGAGUAAUGUCUGGGAAACUGCCUGAUGGAGGGGGAUAACUACUGGAAACGGUAGCUAAUACCGCAUAACGUCUUCGGACCAAAGAGGGGGACCUUCGGGCCUCUUGCCAUCAGAUGUGCCCAGAUGGGAUUAGCUAGUAGGUGGGGUAAUGGCUCACCUAGGCGACGAUCCCUAGCUGGUCUGAGAGGAUGACCAGCCACACUGGAACUGAGACACGGUCCAGACUCCUACGGGAGGCAGCAGUGGGGAAUAUUGCACAAUGGGCGCAAGCCUGAUGCAGCCAUGCCGCGUGUGUGAAGAAGGCCUUCGGGUUGUAAAGCACUUUCAGCGAGGAGGAAGGGUAGUGUGUUAAUAGCACAUUGCAUUGACGUUACUCGCAGAA